CGUCUGUCACUUAUCUGCCUGUAGAUCUCACUUGUUCAUUUCUCUUCGCCUAAUGAGAUAUGCAAAAUGGUGUUGCUGUUUUGUCAAAGGAGCAGCCCUUUGCCUUCUUAUUUUUGAACGAGAAGAAAAGGUCCUUUAAGAAGCAUACGCCAUCUGCAUGACAGAGAUAGCAGAGCAGAACAAGGCUUGCCAUUGUAAUGGAAUCCAAGACAGAUGUCAGGAAGAAGGCACAGCUGCCCUCAUGGCGGCCUGACGGCUUCCAAAACUGCCUUAGAAAGUGGCAAGAACUAUGAGUGACCUGCAGUAAUAAAUACAUGUCCUUCAGGAAAUUGAGUCUGUCUACAUUCAUAGAGAAAAAUUGUAGAAUCAUAGGAAGUGAAAAUUGGAAAGGCCAGAGAAGUUUUCUUCAAGCUUUCAUGUGGAAAAUCUAAUAUGGAAAUCUGAGCUGUAAACAGCCACCUUGAACAGUUUCCUCUGGCCAUGCUUCCCUGCCUUGGAGCCAGCUGAGAAUGAGCUGAAACUUCCACAAACUUCACAACAGCCUUCCCUUCUGCUGACGUGGACACCAAGACCAGAGUUAAGAUGGAGCGAGAGGGCCUCAAAGAUGGAAGAAGCUCCCUCGGUUACUGUGCUCCAUGUUUGACGACAAUGCUUAUUUAGUUCUCAACAAAUACCAGACUAUUACGGCUUCUUUUGCCUAAAUCAGUGGAAGACCAAUGUGUGAAAGCCCUGGAAAUGGAACUGAAGACCAGGUGUCACAGGACACUGCUUUCCCUGGUGCAGGGUGCCAAUGUUGAUGGGAGAGUUGCAGGACCCGUAAUCAGGGCUGAAAAGCCAGUGGAGGCGAAGUUCUCCUACCAAGUGGGUCUCACUGAGAGCAAGAAGUGAAUUUGGGAAGACUGACCUUGGUUACCAUACCAUCCAGCCUGAUUAUGGCCUGAAAACAAAAACACACAAGGAAGAGGAAGAAAUAUGAGGGCCCAGAAAAAAGAUUACAUUUCUCAAGUGUUGUUGAACUCUAUGUUAUUAAAAAGUUUUAGGUCAGUAAAACAAAAAGGUAACAUUUCUCAUAUAAGUCUUCAUUAUCCUCCCUGCCCAUGAGUAACUUCACCCUGCCCUUCUUUAAAUAUCUAAUAACAUGAAAAUUCACAGAGAUUUAAUUUGCCAGAGUUUCAAUUGAUGCAAUCUUCAACUGCUUGAUAGCUUCGAAGCUGUCAAUUAUUCACCUAAUCAAAUUGUGUUUUUCUUAGUGAGACAGAAGUUAUCUCUGAUUAGAGGAAUAAACAAAAUUAAUCCAUGGUAGGAAUCUAAAACAUACACAUCUAAUACUAAGCUACUUCCCUGGGCAUCAAAACAUGUACAUAUCUAUAUAUAAUUGACAUACAUCUGACAUUCAGAAUGCUAGUGAUAUGUUUGGAGCCAAGUAAGCUACACUUCUACUGUUAAACUGUGAUCUGGCCAAAUUACACAAUCUUUUGAACGUUAGUUUCCCUAUCUAUGAAAUAAGCCUAGUGAUAACAGAAUUUACAUUAUAGAGGGAUUGAGAGUCUAAAAUGAGUUAGUACAUGUAAAGCUUGUACAGGAACACCUGGCCCAAGUGCUAGGUGAGUGUUAGCUGUUACUAUGAUUGCUCCUGUGUCCUAUUUUUGCAGUGAGCUCAUGUUUAAAUGCUUAGGGAUGAUGAAGUUGAAGAUUUUUAUCAUUAAUCACAGAGUUAGGUUUUUUUCCUUUCCCUGAAGAAUGUGUGUGCUAAAAGAAAAAUGUGUGUGCUUAUAUAUACAUAUGUAUGCAUAUAUUCAAAUGGUGUUUUUUUAAAAUAAAAUGUGUGCUUAUUAAUUUACAUAUUACUCAAUGAUGGAUUUUUUUCCCCAGUAAUGCUGAAAAUAUUCUCCUCAUGAGACAGGUACUCUCUCAUCUUAAUCAACAGGGAUAGAAUGGAAUCUAAACGUGGGAGCAAUCUCAGUGAAGGCAUGAGCCUGCAGAAUUUCCUUUAUAUUAGAGCCAAAGGAACAGUUUAAUUUUCUUUGUGUUAUGUUCCAAACUCUUCUCAAAUUAUACUGGGAAUAUCGCUAUUAAAAAGAGGGGGCCUCUUGCAAUUCAGCACCUCCUACACACAGCUAAUUAAAUAAAAUGAGAGGCAAGGAGCAGACGAGAACCAAGCUCAUAAAUAUUGUACAUUUUUAUUAAUAACAUACAAAUGAACUUAAUUAAAACUGCAUUUUCCAUGAGUAACAAUCUGACAUGCAGAUUUAUGCCCUUGUCCAGGAGCUCUAGUGUGAGUGAAAACAUCCUGGAAUUUUAAUACAAGGAGACUCCCUGUUGGUUUAAUGUACUC